UUGGAGACACUAUUCCCAGACUCCCUCUUGCGUUACUUUGGAGUAGUUGUUGUCUGUUGGGUGAUGUCUGUACAGGGAUUUCAUGUAUACUCAUGUGAAUAGAAAGACGUUCUUGCCUCACAGGCCCUCUUCCCAAUUUUCAUUUUCUUCCCUUUAAUAUUUAUUUAAUAGGACCAUGAAAUCACUGUGAGUUCAAAUUUGAUAGAGCCUUUAAGCCUUUUUUCUUGCGAAAGAAGGCCAUGGGUAUAUGUUUCGUUAUAUUGUGAUAGAACCUAGUCUACACUUAUCUAAAGAUGCUUGAUUUUGAUUAUUUUCUUUAAGGAGUCCAAGAUCGGAUUGUUUAUCGUACUAUCUAUAUCUAGUCUUUUCCUUCUCUAUU
rnacentral:lncRNA from 1 species